GAAGGUAUAGCUCAGCGGCAGAGUGCAUGCUUGCCAUGCAUGAGGUCCUGGGUUCCAUCCCCAGUACCUCUA
rnacentral:tRNA from 1 species